UUCAUGUAGGGGCACUGGACUGCCUAGAGUUGGAGGAAGGGACCCUGUUCUCACAUCGCUUUCCUGUUUCCCUCUCCUGCAAUAUGGAUUUGACAUAUUAAUCAUUACAGCAACUGCUAAAAUUCCACUGUGCUUCAUUAAUCCGGAGGAAAAUACCAUGUCAGCUGGUGCUGUGGGGAUACUGCAGCAGCUCUCUGUCCUUCCAGUGUCUCCAGGGAAGAACAUCUUCCUCUCAAGUGAACAGUGCUUACCGCUUCAAGCAUCCAGUCUCAGCAAUAAGAGGAGCACAUCUCCAAAUUUAUAAUGAAAGACAAGCAAAGUGGGACUUCAUGGCCUUGGCUGGACACCAAGUGAUAGCUAAUUUUUGCAGCAGGGAAGACGAAAUAACAAGUCCCUGGAUUGCAAUUUUGGUUUCUCCUUCUGUUCUCAAACAAAAAAUUGUUUAAAUAAUAAACUCUUGUCUUCAUCAUAA
rnacentral:lncRNA from 1 species